rnacentral:tRNA from 2 species
GCUAGAAUGGCUCAGUUGGUAGAGCAACGCAUUCGUAAUGCGUGGGUCGAGGGUUCGAGUCCCUUUUCUAGCU